AAACUACGCCUGUUCUUUGAAAUUUAAUAUUGAUUACAGAAAAGGGAACACGGUUUAAAGCCGUGACGGUCGCGCCGCUGUAAGCGUUUAUUCCGAUAAAACGGAAGACCGAAAGAAGUUGUACCACUGCUUAUGUGUUGAGCGGGAAGGGUUCUUUCGGUGACGCAAGUCAGAAAACCUUACUUGGAAUCAAAAAUUUU
rfam:Planctomycetes bacterium GWF2_41_51 gwf2_scaffold_21064, whole genome shotgun sequence.